rnacentral:lncRNA from 1 species
CUCAGUGAGCCAGCCAGGAGUGUCACAGCUCUUUCAUUCAUGCCACCUGCAGCUUGGUGAGUUCCAGGUUCUUGUCCCGUGACCAAGAGGAAUAAGAUGCAUGGACACCAGAAAGUGUUCUUGGAAAAAGCACCAUUCAAUUGGUUAAAAAGCAUCAUCUAGAAGGAACCAAUUGCGAGACAGUGAGGAAGACAGAGAUAGAAGUUCUCACUCCAGUAAUUAACUCCAUCUGGAAGCAUCAGCUUGGUUUUCAGGCUUUAAACAGUUUUUGGUUUGAAGGUUGGGUAUCAAUGGAGACCUGCUUCUGUCUGCCUAGGAAUUUGUCUGUCUCCUGUCACUAUCACAAUAAGACAGGCUUGAUCUUGGCUAGGGUACACUUUUCCCUGGACAGGGUUUGAGUGGGAACUCGAUUGGGAAUGUUGAUCUUUGCAUGCCAUGCCCCCAACAAUUCUUAAUGACAUCUGCCUUUACCAUUUCUCCUGCUGUUAAGUAGUUAUAUCUCUUCACAAACCACGGGCCUCAGCUACUGGGGCCAGCAGUGAGCACUUGACCCCAAACAACUGAUCCCCAGGCUGAUGAGACCAUCUAAUGACCACUGUGGGUUCUGGUUCAAAAUGAUGAGUUUAAAAAAUAGUUUUCUCUCUUAGAAUUUUGAAUGGGAGUAGGAAUAGUGGCAGUAUGCUGAAAUUGAAGCACUACACUUGUUCAAGGUAAGCAAUAAGGGUAAAAAGGAGAGGUUGUGUUGCCUAGUGCAGCAAGGAGAAGGAAGUCAGUCCACAAAGAAAAGCAAUGUAAAAGAGACAUCCUCCUAAUUAAGUUUAAAAAAAAAAAUUUCCUCUAAGACCAUUUAGGUGACUUUCUAUGUUUCACCAUUUAUAUCCAAGUCAAAGAAACACUGUUGAAAUGUCCCCGAUGAAUUUUGUUUUUCUAUUUUUUAUUGCUUACGAAUGCAUGUUUGUGAUAGACACAUUAUCUUUAUAUGUUAACAUCAAGUUUUCUUCCAACUCAGUUAUCCUUUCUUUCUCAACAAAACUUGGCAUUAUUUUAUCACAGGUUUAAUUUACGAGAUAACUUGAAGGGCAACCGAGUUUCUCUUAUUUCCAUGUUCCUCAGUGACUGUAUCUCAUAGUCUUCUCUCAAUUUGCCUAUAGGAUAUAUUUAAAGUUACCAAUGCUUCAAUAUUUAUUUGUUCAUUUGUAACUUAGCAUUUACUUUAAGUACAGUUUGAUACAAUACUUAACUUUAAACCAGAAAUGCAUUUAAACAAUCUAUAUUUUGAAAAUAAUUUUAUCUCCUUUUUUUUUUUUGGAGACAGAGUCUUGGUCUGUUACCCAGGCUGGAGUACAGUGGUGCAAUCUCAGCUCACUGCAACCUUUACCUCCUGGGUUCAAGCGAUUCUCCUGCCUCAGCCUCCCAAGUAGUUGGGAUUACAGGCAUAUGUCUGCUAAUUUUUUUUUUUAUUUUAUUUUAGUAGAGAUGGUGUUUAGUAGAGAUGGCCUCCUGGCCUCAAGUGAUGCACCCCCUUUAGCCUCCCAAAGUGCUGGGAUUACAGGCAUGAGCAACUUCACCUGGCUUCAUAAUUUAUUCUUAUGUAAUUUAUACGUUUUGUACUUACAUGAACUUUUAAACUUUUAACAACAUUUCAAUAUUUAAUAUGCUAUGAAAGUUAAAAUUUAAAAAAAUCAAAAUGCAUCCAUGCAGUUUAUCAGAUGUAAAUAUAGGAACUUGAAAAUGCAGUUAAUGCUUUUACAGAUUAUAAUCAAUUGUUGUUUUACCAGUUACUUUUAAUUUUAUAAAAUUUAAAGCUCAUGAAAGCCUAACAACAUAUAUUUGUCACAAAGUAGUUUUACUUAUUUUUCAAAGAAAUAGUAUGAAUGCAGAAAUGGAUUUCACUACAAAAGUGUCAAAUUUUUUUUCAGUAAUUGGAGUCAUAAGUCAUUUUUAGCCAUCUUACUCCCUUUGAAUUGGUGCUUUUAUGUUGCCUAAGAAUAUGUUGAUACAUUUUCAUUGCCUAAAUUUGGUUGAAGAAUGCUGCGUGUAUAAAGACAAGCUACCACCUGAAAUUCUCAGGUCAACAUUUAAAUUUAAAGGUCUUUUUUAUUGUUGGCUGUUGUGCUAAAUCUUAACCAUAUAGCAAAUCUGAAGUAGCAAUCCAAUCUAUAUUAAAAAACUAAAUAACACUUGAUAUGAUUUGGCUGUGUUGCCACCCAAAUCUUAUCUUGAAUUCUCAUGUAUUGUAGGAGGGACCCAGUGGGAGGUAAUUAAAUCAUGGGGGCAGGUUUUUCCCAUGCUGUUCUCAUGACGAAGUCUCACAAGAUCUGUGGGUUUUAAAAAUGGGACUUUCCCCUCACAAGCUCUCUCUCUGUUUGCCUGCUGCCAUCCAUGUAAGACGUGACUUGCUCUGCCUUGCCUUCCAUCAUGAUUGUGAGGACUCUCCAGCCACAUGCAACUCCACAGAAGAUUAAGAAUGAAGGAGGGGAGUAUGUGCAAAGAACCAUCAUACUUAAUUCCCACCUCUUCAAACUGCUAGAGCCACAGACAAUCCUGGAAUACCCCAAAAGAGAGGAGGAUUCCAUGCUGCUGCUCCGCCAUGCUUCACACCAAUCAAUAAGAAGUGUUUCCAGCUGUAUCUACGAAAUGUCUCUCCAGAAUCACUGACAAUUCGGUUCACAUCAUAUGGCAAUUAGAUAAUUUUCUGAUGACUUUUAACUUACCUCCUCUCUUUUGACUUCUCCCUACACCAUAUCAGUGUCCAAAGUGUUGCCAAAACCACUUCGAAAAUGCACAUCUGUUUCUGUCUCUCCCUUAUAUUAUGCCUUCAAAUCAUGACUUCUUAAAAUGAUAUAAGGAAUUUUUACAGUUGGGUAAAAAAUUAAGUUGGAGCCUCCUUUAUAAUUGUUCCUGUACAUUUGCCAUCCCUCCAGACUUAAAGAAUAAAUUGAAGAACUUUGUACAGAAUAUUGACUUUCCUGUUGAUGUGCCAUCAUUUAGUACAGGAGAAACAACUCAGUGUAUACCUAUCUGCAAACUUUUCUAAUGAUAAUUUGUGCCUAUAGUCCUAUACUGAUGUGAAGUGUGAAAAAAUAUAUACCAGGAGAAACAAAGGAGAAUGGCACCAUAUAAUUGGUAGAUUUUCAUCCCAUAGUUUAUUUUCGUAUUUGCCUGCAAGGUCUUUUUUCAUACACUAAAUCAAGCCCUGCCUGUUUUGAAAUCAUCAUCGACACCCCUUCAAAGCACAGUUAAGUACACCUUCUCUGGUUUCACAUGACAAUCUGAUUGCACUGGAUUACAGUCAAAACUUUUGUGUCUGUCUGUGCAAUUUCUGAUGUCCUUAAGGGCAGGGACAAUGUUUUUCCCAAUUUUGUAUUGCCAGUGCCUAGCACAAUCCCUGACUUUUUGUAGAUAGAACUUUUUUCCACCAAUUGUAUAAUUUAAUGAAUCACACAUAUAGACUCUAAUGAUUACAUGAAUAUUAUUAAUUGAUACUCAAUGUUUGUGGUCUAAUAUUAUUUUUCUUGAAAUAAAUUAAGAUAUAUUUAAUAUAAUAAAAUUAAAACUACAAAAUAAAACAAACAUUUAUAACUUGAAUUUAACAUGUCAUAAAUUUUUGCAGUAGCAGUAAUACAUAUUGAAAAAACACAUACCUUGGUAUAACAAAAUAUAAAAAUGAAAAACAAAACCAACCAAAAAACUGCUUAGUACAUUCAUAUACAAUAUUAAAUUGUACUCUAUGAAUACAUACUAAUGUUUAUGAAUUUAGUAAGUUUGCAAUACAUAGAAUUAUUUAUGUCAUUUUAUGCAGAAAAAAGGUAUUGUAUUGGCAUUGUUACACAUUAUAGGUGACAGGUAAUGAAGUAAAUUAUGUUCUAAAAUUAUAUUUUUGCAGAAGUUAUCAACAUCAUUAGGUUUUAUUAACUUAUUCUUGAAGUCUAUAAAAAUUGGCAAGUGGAUCACGAGGUCAGGAGUUCAAGACCAGCCUGGGCAAGAUGGUGAAACCCUGUCUCUACUAAAAAUACAAAAAAAAAUUAGCUGAGCAUGGUGGUGGGCACCUGUAAUCCCAGCUACUUGGGAGGCUGAGGCAGAGAAUUGCUUGAACCUGGGAGGCAGAGGUUGCAAUAAGCCGAGAUCAUGCUGCUGCACUCCAGCCUGGGUGACAGAGAGAGACUCCAUCCCCUACCCCCCCCACCCCCCCAAAAAUAGAGGUCUUUUAAUUUUUCAUCUGUGGGUUACUGUCCAAAACAAUGAACCAAAAGAAUUAUCCCUAAGUAAAUUACCCAUAAUUUCUCCACCUUUAAGUUGUAUUUUUUUCUGAAGAUAAUGGAAAUUAGAAGCUAAAGCGUGCAAACUAUUAAUGUUAGCAUAUGACAGUUGAAGGUGAACACAGAAGGCCUGUUAAGGUGUGCUCACUUCUUAAGGUUAAGACAUAAAGAGAAAACUUCUUACUACAUUAGAAUAUAGGAAGACACCUCUAUUCUGUGUCUUAUGUGAAGAAUAGAGUUAAGAAAGAUGCUGCUAUAAUAAAACAUAACAUUUUUACUUAAUAUUUAUAAACAACCACAUAGAAAAUAUAAUUCUCCAGGAAACAUAAAGUUUAUUUGAUAAACUCUUCAAUUAAAAAAGUGGUUGGGUCAUUUUAAUGGAUGGUCCCAUUGAACCAUGAUAUCUGAAUCGUCCAUCAUUAUUAUAGGUAUAUGAGUAUUAAUGGACCAGAUAACCCCAGUGUGGUAUUCAGGACAUCUUUAUCGUAAGUAUUGUUGAAAAUACUUCAACCUUUUUUAAAAAAAAAUCUAUUCAAAGUAUCUUCUGUUUCUCUAUGAAGAAUAUCCUUUAAUUUUUUUUCUGUGAAAAUAGCCUUUAUUUCAGAAAGGCACAAUGCAAAUUAAUGAAGCCCUAGGCUCACACAUAUCAAGAGUGUUUUAUUUUGUUGAAGUUACUCCUUGGCUUUCAUUGCUAGUAAUAAAAUUCCUUGGUAAGAGAGUCACACCUGUUUGUGAUAAGCAGUCUUGGAAUAUAACGAUGAGUGCUGGAGAAAUGUGAGCAAUGCGACAACAGUGUCUGUUAAAAUGUGCUUUUUCAUAGUUUAUUUUUAUCCAUUGUGUUGGGCAUUCAUUUGACUCUCUAAAACUCAUGUCCUUUAGUACUUUUAGAAUUCUCUUGAUUUUUAAAAUAAGGUAAUUUCUCCACUAUCUUUCAAAGCUUUACCUUUCAAGGAGCAAGAGUUUUAAUUUGGGAAAUUCUAUUUAUCAUUUUUCUUUCAUAGUAUAUAUACUUUAUGUUGUUUCAAAUAUUUUUGCCCAACCUAAUGUCAUGAAGAUUUUCUACAAUAUUUUAUUCUACAAGUUUUGCCGCUUUAUCUGUUAAGUUUUAAUCUAUAAUCUAUUUUGAGUUAAUUUUUAUACUUAAAUAUCAAAUUAUUUUUGGACUCCCUAUUUCAUUCCGUUAAUCUACAUCUUUUUUUUUUUUUUUUUUUUUUUUUUUUUGAGUCGGAGUCUCACUCUGUCGCCCAGGCUGGAGUGCAGUGGCGUGAUCUCGGUUUACUGCAAACUCCGCCUCCCAGGUUCCCGCCAUUCUCCUGCCUCAGCCUCCGGAGUAGCUGGGACUACAGACACCUGCCACGGCGCCGGCUAAUUUUGUGUGUGUGUGUGUGUGUGUGUGUAUUUUUCGUAGAGACGGGGUUUCACCGUGGUCUCCAUCUCCUGACAUCGUGAUCCGCCCGCCUCAGCCUCCCAAAGUGCUGGGAUUACAGGCGUAAGCCACGCGCCCGGCCCCGUUAAUCUACGUAUCUAUCUAUAUGCCAAAAAACGUACAGAGCUGAUUACUGUUGCUUUUCAGGAACUUUUAAAAUCAGAUACUGUAAGUCCUCUAACUUUGUACCUUUUGAAAAACAUUUAGCUAUUGUUGUCUUUGCCUUUCCACCUAAAUUUUUAAAUCAUGUGGUCAAUUUCUUCAAAAAAAGGCUUGUUACCAUUUUUAUUAGGAUUUCAUUGGAUCUAUAGACCAAUUUAUUAAGAAUUGUCAGACUAACAAUAAAAUUUUAAAAUUAGGUGUUGUAAAUCCUCCAACUUUGUACUUUUUCAAAAGUGUUUAGCUAUUAUUGUCUUUGCCAUCCAUACAGAUUUUUAAUUGAUAUUGGCAAUUUCUUCAGAAAAUGCUUGUGACAGCUUUAAUUGUGAUUUCUUUGUACUGACAGGACAAAUUUUGAGAAUUGUCAGACUAAUAAUGUUGACUCUUCAAAUGUAUGAACAAGGUACAUUCACUAGCUAAUUAAGUCUUCCUUUAUUUCCUUUGCAAUGAUUUGUAUCUUUCAGUGUACACAAAAAACAAAAUAUCCAAAUGCUUAGUUUUGUUGUUAAGGUAUGCUCUUUGACAAAAAGAGUAUUAUAUGAAAAACACUAAUCUAACAUUGUCAUCUCUGAUAAAACAUUUCUUAUGAAUAACAAUGUAUGAUUUCAAUUGUGAUAAAAAUAAUGGGUUCCAUAGGAAUCAUAGCAUAUUGUGUUCAAGUUAUAUAAAAUUACACCAUAGAAUUUAUAUUUUCAGAAGAGUUUUGAAUGACCAUUGUGGUGAUACAUGCUUUUUUUUUUCUUCUCCUAUGCCAUGUUUUGUAGUCAUUUUAUUCAAAAUAUAUACAUUUUCAUUUUUGAAGAGUGUUUACCUGGACUUCAUUAAAUAACCAGUGUAUAUUUCAUUUUAGGUAAGAUUUGUUUCAGUUGUAAUUAAGAUCCUUAGCCUCUAAUUCUAGUUGAAUUUUUCCCAUCAAUUCUUCUCAUUUAUUCACUACAAAGAAAUUGCUAUAGUACUUAAAGUAUCUAAUUAUACAGUUUUGCUCCCUUAUAAAUAAAUGAGAACAUAAUGAAUACAUUAGUAAUCAGUGGGUGGAUUCACAACAAUGUAAGAGGUAUAAAAUAUUUGUACAGCUUGACAGGUAGAAACAUUUCUCUACUAAUGGUUUAUGUAAAUUCAUUACUUAUAUACUUUUGAUGGGAUUCUAUAGUAUUCUCUUAUUUUAUGAUUUCUUAUUGUUAGUAUGUAGAAAUUCAAUUGUCUUUUCUGCAUUGACCUUGCAUCUUGCAAUCCUAAACAUUAUCUUCUUUGUUAGCUAGUAGCUUUUUUAUAUAUUUCAUAGAGUUUAUUGCAUAUGCAAUCAUGUCAUCUGUUAAUAAAGAUUUUUACUUCUUACUUUUUAAACAGUAUGAUUUUUUUCCCUACUACACUGGCUAAAACAUCCAGUAUAAUUUUAAAAAACAAGAGAUAAGAAUAAAUAUCCCUUUUUUCCUUUUUAUUAGUAAAAAGCAUUGGGCCUUGCCCUUGGAUAUUAUAUUAGCUAUAAGUUUUUUAAUAGAUACCCCAAAUCAAAUGGAGAAAAUCUAUUCUCACUUUUCUGAGAGUGGUUUCCUAUGAAUGAGUGCUGAAUUUUGUCAAAUAUUUUUUUCCACCUAUUAAAGUGAACACAUUAUUUAUCUCUUUUGUAAUUUUAAUGUGGUAAUUAAAAUUACUGAUUUUCUGACAAACCUUACAUUCUCAGGAUAAAUUCUACUGGGUCCAUGCUUUUUGAUUUGAUUUCCUAAUUUUUUAAAAAUAAUUGUGUGUCUACAUUCAUGAAGGUUAUCAAUCUGUCAUUCUUUCUUUAAAUAUCUUGUCUGAUUUUGGUAUUCAGGCAUUACCGAACUCAUAAAAUGAAUUAUGAAGUGUCCUUUAUUUUCUGAAAAAUUUUGUGCGUAAUUGUAAUUUUGGUUUGCCUCAAUGUUUGAUAGUGUUCAGAUGUGAAGACAAGCUAUGCACUUCCAAUUGAAUAAAUUUUGGUAUUGUCUAUCUUUCCAGAAUUUUUUUAUUCCAUCUAAGUUGCCAAACAUAUUAGAAUAAAGUUGCUUAUAAUAUUAUUUUAUUACUCUUUAAUGAACAUUGGAACUUAUAAAAAG